CAGGUAGUCAAGAUGAGAAUUCUAAGGUGAGCGAGCGAACUCUCGUUAAGGAACUCGGCAAAAUGACCCCGUAACUUCGGGAGAAGGGGUGCUCUUUAGGGUUAACGCCCAGAAGAGCCGCAGUGAAUAGGCCCAAGCGACUGUUUAUCAAAAACACAGGUCUCUGCUAAACCGUAAGGUGAUGUAUAGGGGCUGACGCCUGCCCGGUGCUGGAAGGUUAAGAGGAGUGGUUAGCUUCUGCGAAGCUACGAAUCGAAGCCCCAGUAAACGGCGGCCGUAACUAUAACGGUCCUAAGGUAGCGAAAUUCCUUGUCGGGUAAGUUCCGACCCGCACGAAAGGCGUAACGAUUUGGGCACUGUCUCAACGAGAGACUCGGUGAAAUCAUAGUACCUGUGAAGAUGCAGGUUACCCGCGACAGGACGGAAAGACCCCGUGGAGCUUUACUGUAGCCUGAUAUUGAAAUUCGGCACAGCUUGUACAGGAUAGGUAGGAGCCUUUGAAACGUGAGCGCUAGCUUACGUGGAGGCGCUGGUGGGAUACUACCCUAGCUGUGUUGGCUUUCUAACCCGCACCACUUAUCGUGGUGGGAGACAGUGUCAGGCGGGCAGUUUGACUGGGGCGGUCGCCUCCUAAAAGGUAACGGAGGCGCUCAAAGGUUCCCUCAGAAUGGUUGGAAAUCAUUCAUAGAGUGUAAAGGCAUAAGGGAGCUUGACUGCGAGACCUACAAGUCGAGCAGGGUCGAAAGACGGACUUAGUGAUCCGGUGGUUCCGCAUGGAAGGGCCAUCGCUCAACGGAUAAAAGCUACCCCGGGGAUAACAGGCUUAUCUCCCCCAAGAGUUCACAUCGACGGGGAGGUUUGGCACCUCGAUGUCGGCUCAUCGCAUCCUGGGGCUGUAGUCGGUCCCAAGGGUUGGGCUGUUCGCCCAUUAAAGCGGUACGCGAGCUGGGUUCAGAACGUCGUGAGACAGUUCGGUCCCUAUCCGUCGUGGGCGUAGGAAAUUUGAGAGGAGCUGUCCUUAGUACGAGAGGACCGGGAUGGACAUACCUCUGGUGUACCAGUUGUCGUGCCAACGGCAUAGCUGGGUAGCUAUGUGUGGACGGGAUAAGUGCUGAAAGCAUCUAAGCAUGAAGCCCCCCUCAAGAUGAGAUUUCCCAACUUCGGUUAUAAGAUCCCUCAAAGAUGAUGAGGUUAAUAGGUUCGAGGUGGAAGCAUGGUGACAUGUGGAGCUGACGAAUACUAA
rnacentral:rRNA from 1 species